CCAGACUCCUACGGGAGGCAGCAGUGGGGAAUAUUGGACAAUGGGGGGAACCCUGAUCCAGCGACGCCGCGUGAGUGAAGAAGUAUUUCGGUAUGUAAAGCUCUAUCAGCAGGGAAGAAAGAAAUGACGGUACCUGACUAAGAAGCCCCGGCUAACUACGUGCCAGCAGCCGCGGUAAUACGUAGGGGGCAAGCGUUAUCCGGAUUUACUGGGUGUAAAGGGAGCGUAGACGGCGAUGCAAGCCAGAUGUGAAAGCCCGGGGCUCAACCCCGGGACUGCAUUUGGAACUGUGUGGCUGGAGUGUCGGAGAGGCAGGCGGAAUUCCUAGUGUAGCGGUGAAAUGCGUAGAUAUUAGGAGGAACACCAGUGGUGAAGGCGGCCUGCUGGACGAUGACUGACGUUGAGGCUCGAAAGCGUGGGGAGCAAACAGGAUUAGAUCCCCCUGUA
rnacentral:rRNA from 1 species